rnacentral:sRNA from 1 species
ACAUUCACCUUGAUGAGGAAGAGACCUGAUGGCCUGGCUUUCUAAUCCCCCAGUCAGUCUGUUGAAAUAAGGAUCACACUCAUCUGUAUAAUAUAGACAUGGUUUUAGCAAUUCACAGUUAUUUUUCUACAUUCACUUUAAAUUUACAGAAAGAUUGUGGAAGAAAAAUAUGAAGAAAAUAGCAAACGAAUGCAAGAAUUGAGAUCUCGGAACUUUCAGCAGCUGAGUGUUGAUGUACUCCACGAAAAAACACAUUUAAAAGGAAUGGAAGAAAAGGAGGAGCAACCUGAGAGAAGACUUUCUUGUUCACCCCAGGACGAGGAUGAAGAGAGGUGGCAAGGCAGGGAAGAGGAAUCAGAUGAACCGACUUUAGAGAACCUGCCUGAGUCUCAGCCUGUUCCUUCCAUGGACCUCCGCAAACUUGAAUCAAUUGUAGAGGAUGCCACAUCUGACCUUGGAUAUCAUGAGAUCCCAGAAGACCCACUUGUGGCUGAAGAGUACUACACUGAUGCAUUUGAUUCCUAUUGUGAAGAG